rnacentral:misc_RNA from 1 species
AGAUUACUAGUCACAGCAAAGAAGAAAAGACAACAAAGAAUAUACAGUAGAAUUCAUAGCUGAUCUCUUUAUAUAAGACUAUAAAUUGAACAUCCCAUUAUUGUUACCUCAACAUUUAGUGCUGCUUAUUAAUCACGUUACCAGCAAUGGAACCCAUAUUACUGGUAUUUGUUCUCUCAAGCACGAUUCUGUUUUCAGCUUUCUUCCGGCUGCAUUCAUGGAUUUCACCAAAAGCAAUGGAGGAAAUCACUGGAAGCUUGGGCUGGCCUAUUGUCGGUGAAAGCUUCUCAUUCAUCACUGAAUUUUCUAGUUCACCUGGUAUCCACAGCUUCAUGAAAAAGAGGCAGG